GACGAACGCUGGCGGCGUGCCUAAUACAUGCAAGUCGAACGGAAAGGCCCUGUUCUUGUGCCGCGCUCGAGUGCCGAAAGCGGGAGAGUAACGCGUGUAACCUGUCCUUGACUUUGGGAUAACUUUUGGAAACUGGGGCUAAUACCGCAUAGGAGCUCUUGCUGCAUGGUGGGGGUUGGAAAGAUUCGGCGGUUGGGGAUGGACUCGAGGCUUAUCAGCUUGUUGGUGGGGUAGUGGCGUACCAAGGCUAUGACGGGUAGCCGGCCUGGGAGGGUGACCGGCCACAAUGGGCCUGAGGUACGACCCAGACGGCAACGGGAGGCAGCGGUGGAAAAUAUGCCGCAAUAGGCGGAAGCCUGAUACAACGACGCCGCGUGCGAAAUGACGGCCUUCGGGUGAUAAACCGCUUUCGCCUGUAACGAAGAGUGAGUGACGGUAAUGAGUAAGGAAGCACCGGCUAACUACGUG
rnacentral:rRNA from 1 species